rnacentral:rRNA from 1 species
CGACCGGCGCACGGGUGAGUAACACGUAUGCAACCUGGCCGUGACAGAUGGAUAACCGGGAGAAAUCCCGCCUAAUACAACAUAAUGCCGGGAGGGGACAUCCCCUGCCGGUCAAAGGGGGCGACCCCGGUCACGGGAUGGGCAUGCGGCGCAUUAGGUAGUUGGUGGGGCAACGGCCCACCAAGCCGACGAUGCGUAGAGGUUCUGAGAGGAAGGUCCCCCACAUUGGAACUGAGACACGGUCCAAACUCCUACGGGAGGCAGCAG